rnacentral:rRNA from 1 species
AAUCAACGCUGGCGGCGUGCCUAACACAUGCAAGUCGAACGCGAAAGCCCCUUCGGGGGUAAGUAGAGUGGCGUCCGGGUGAGUAACACGUAGGUAAUCUACCUUCGGGUGGGGAAUAACCAGUCGAAAGAUUGGCUAAUACCGCAUAAUGCAGCGGCACCUAAUGGUGAUUAGUUGUUAAAGCGGGGGAUCGUAAGACCUCGCGCCUGAAGAGGAGCCUGCGGCAGAUUAGCUAGUUGGNGA